CGCGGGGCGAGGGGCGGCCGCAAGGACGGGGCUCCUCGGUGCCCUCCGCCCGCGGCCGCCGCCCACUGACACCCGUGCUCGCCGCCCUGCGAUCCCGCCCUUCCCGCCCCGCCGCUGCGGGCCUUCCUCCGUCCCUCAGCCUGCUGUGCAUUCUGGAGAUGCAGAAACCAUGUAGCAGAAAGCUUUGAGCAGCUGUGGAUUAUCAGUUUCUCCCAAGAGGAAUAAAAAGUGAAGGAUGAAGGCGACUGGAUUUAUUUCCCUGUGGACGUUGGUUUCGCUGCCUUGUGGCCCCUUAGCAAACCCCGCGGAACGUGAAGAUGUAGUGAAGCAUGCAAUAAAGCUGCACCGUGGGAAAGGGGCUGUUAUCACUCAGAGGAAGCAGUGGGUGUUGGAGAGCUGCAGAAAACUGUCUGGUCUUCUUCGCCAAAAGAAUGUUGUUCUCAACAAACUAAAAAAUGCCAUAAGAGCAGUUGAGAAGGAUGCUUCUCUGUCUGAUGAAGAGAAACUUUUUCAGGUGCACACCUUUGAAAUUUUCCAAAAGGAGCUAAAUGAAAGUGAAAACUCAGUCUUUCAGGCAAUCCAUGGCCUCCAGAGAGCUCUACAGGGUGACUACAAAGAUGUUGUAAAUAUGAAAGAAAGCAGUAGACAAAGACUGGAGGCCUUGAGAGAAGCUGCAAUUAAGGAAGAAAUGGAAUAUGUUGAACUCCUAGCAGCAGAGAAACACCAGGUUGAAGCCCUUAAGAACAUGCAGCACCAAAACAAAAGCCUGUCGAUGCUUGAUGAAAUUCUGGAAGAUGUCAGAAAGGCAGCUGAUAGAUUGGAAGAGGAAAUAGAAGAGCAUGCCUUUGAUGACAACAAAUCUGUAAGAGGUGUAAACUUUGAAGCUGUUUUAAGGGUGGAAGAAGAUGAAGCCAACUCCAAAAGAAAUGCUUCAAAAAGAGAAGUAGAAGAUGACUUAGGGCUUAGUAUGCUUAUUGAUUCUCAGAACAAUCAGUAUAUCCUUACUAAACCCAGAGACUCAACCAUUCCUCGUGCUGAUCAUCAUUUCAUAAAGGAUAUUGUGACAAUAGGAAUGUUGUCUUUGCCGUGUGGCUGGCUGUGCACAACGAUAGGAUUGCCAACCAUGUUUGGAUAUAUCAUCUGUGGAGUACUCUUAGGACCCUCAGGACUAAAUAGUAUCAAGUCUAUUGUACAGGUGGAGACGUUAGGAGAGUUUGGUGUAUUCUUCACUCUCUUUCUAGUUGGUCUGGAAUUUUCUCCUGAAAGAUUAAGAAAGGUAUGGAAAAUAUCUUUGCAAGGACCCUGCUACAUGACAGUUCUGAUGAUUGCCUUUGGUUUACUGUGGGGGCACUUGCUCCAAAUUAGACCAACACAGAGUGUCUUCAUUUCCACUUGUUUGUCUUUGUCAAGCACACCACUGGUGUCCAGAUUUCUUGCAGGUAGUGUUCGAGGAGAUAAAGAAGGGGAUAUUGACUACAGCAGCGUACUGCUUGGCAUGUUGGUGAUGCAGGAUGUGCAGCUUGGUUUAUUUAUAGCUGUCAUGCCUACACUUAUUCAAGCAGGAGUGAGCACAUAUUCCAGCAUUUUCAAGGAAAUUCUGAGAAUACUGAUACUGAUUGGCCAAAUUCUGUUUUCUCUGGCUGCUGUUUUUCUCCUAUGUCUUGUUAUAAAGACUUAUCUCAUAGGACCGUAUUACCGCAAGUUGCACACAGAAAGCAAAGGGAAUAAAGAAAUCCUCAUUCUAGGAAUAACUGCAUUCACCUUCCUUAUGUUAAUGAUUCUCUGUUAUUCCUUAACAGAUCACAGAGCUGUUGGAUGUUUCAAUGGAGCUGGGAUGCUUCUUAGCUGGAGCUCUGAUCUCUUCUCAGGGUCACAUGGUUACUGAGGAGAUUAUGUGCUGUAUUGAACCAAUACGUGACUUUCUUGCCAUCAUUUUCUUUGCAUCUAUAGUCUACAUGUGGAGUAUAGAGUUUGAAACUGGGCAUCAAGACCCUCUCUGCCACUGGUGAGGUAACAGAUUACUUCCACUGACUGACAAGUUGUGUGUUCUCAAUGUGCUGUACAGAUGUACCCACCUGCCAGCUUCCACGUUUCCCUUCCAGGUAACUCCUGUGGUCACUGUUGGACCUUGAAUGCAAGAGCUGAAAACCCUUUAACAGCUCAGUCUUUUUCUUCAGAAGAUGGGUGAUGCUGACACUGCCUGCACCACCACUGUCCAGAGCAAACAUGCACACAAGGAUUGUCCAGUGAGCCUCUUUACCACUUCCAUUGAAUCUGAGAAAAUCAAAGGAAGAUCCCAACUGGAAUUUGUUAGGUGGCAUGCAUCGCCUUCUCCUUAUCCAUCCAGCUCUACUGCUUUGUUUUUCUGCAUGGAGCACAAUGAAACUUGGAGGUUUCAUGCUCUCAGAACUGACAGUAGAGUCAAGAAUACUUUCCCCUUUGGAGAAUGAUUAAGAAGAUUGGCCUUCCCCUCUGCUGCUUAAUGAUCUAGCCAGGGCUGUAGUAUUGACUGCAUUUGCAGACUACGAUCUUAGGACUCUUAGUAGACACAGCAUCUCAAUGCAUAGCUAACCUGAUUUUUCUGAGUGAUGUCCUGUCUUGAGGAUAUGUCAGAAUUAAUUCUACUGGCUCCAUUUUGACCCUCAGAGUUCUGAUUUUUGUACUCUUGUUUGCCAUCAAGGAUCUCCAAGAUUGCUUUUUUGGUGUUGGAUCUUACCAGGAUGUGGUCAAGACGUCUGGAUCUUCACAUGCCGUUUAGGAGCUAUCCAUCAGAUUCGUAGAAUCUGCGUAAUUGAGGAAAGAGGGAGUUUACUUGUUAAGAAAAAAGUACUUUUUAAAAGAUUGUGCAAAGUCUUGCCUGUAAUUGUCCACAGAAUACAUACCAGCUUCUGUGAGUGAACUGUGCUUUUUGGCUUGGCAGUGAUACACCCCAAGGCCUCUGUUCCAGCUCUUUGUGAACACUGCUUGGAGCUGAAGGUCUGGUAGCUUGUGGCCAAUUCUGUAAAAGUGUACCUAAGUGUUAUCCUAGCUGUUGACUGCUGGCCAAUAUGAUGUGCUGAUGACACUGCUGAAGUUUUUGAGUUAUUUUAAGUGUUUCUUCCAUGUUAGAGUAUGAUUUCAGAAUUACUGCUGAGCUUAGUCAAAGUCUGAUCAAAACCAUUGCAAUAACUGGCCGUAUUCAUGCAGCUUCUGCCUAUGAAAUUAAUCCUUCUGAUGGUGUUUGUGUUGUCAGGAAGGCGCCAUGUGCUUGUUUAGGAGUCUGAUAGCACUUCUGGCCUUAUCCUGGGUUUUCAUCUAGGAAUGGGGCAAAGGUCUCUACUGACCAUAAAAAUACCUUAUGAUGGGAUUUAUUUCCUUCAAAAAAAUGGCUGGUUUCUGACAUGUUGAUUUGUCUGCUCAGAAUAGCGUAUGUGACAGUUUAGGCUUGUUUUCACCUUGCAGACACUGUUCCCCAAAGAAUUGGUAUAGAAAUCUGCUGUAGUUUGUGCUUCAGCUCUUUGGAAUAUGGCAAUAAUCUCCACACUGGGCAGCUGUUCAAAUGGACUUCAGACUGCCUGUGUGCUCCAGAACUGAACACAUACUAGUGAUGAGAGCACUAGGCUUUAUUUAUAGCCUCUCUUGGAAACCUUCAGUUCUAGAUCUGGCAGAAUUGUCCCUCUUAUCAAACAUGCCAUUGCUAUGGGCUGUAUUUCUCUAAUUGCUUUUCAUGUAUUUUCUGAGGUCGGCCUAAAGGUGAAGGAGCACUGUGCACGUGAUUUUGCAGUGAAGCUACUUGCUUCUUCCACAUGCAUCUGUGCAUAUAUGUGGAUUUCUUUUUUUGGUGUGGUUUUCCUCUCUUAUUCUGUUGUCUCUCCUCUUACUUUGAUAGUCUUUUGCAUUUGCGCUUCAGUCAUUGGAAGGAAAUUAAGAAAUAAAACAGGGUGUGUGCGUGCUGACUGGGUGGCACUUGUGUAAAGAUCUCUGAUGUAAUUGAAGAAGGUUCCCAUUGGAAAUUGAAUGUGCAUACAGACAAAACCCUGUGAAGUUACUGUAAGUCUGGAAGAGAUGACAACUCUUGGUUCUCUGCAGCUCAUCUGGAUCUGCAGCACUACAGGGAGGGAAAAUUAGUAGAACCUUGUCCCACAUUAAAAUAAAAAGUUACUCAGAGCAUUGAUUUACAUGCCUUACGCUUUAGAAAGCUAAAUUCUUGUCCUUCAUCAGAAAUAACUGGGUUGGAGACAUGCCAACUAUUAUGAAUAUGUCAGGAACAUCGUCAUUAUUUUGAUUUCACUUUUUAGAAGCUUUCAUGAAAAAGGAAUGAGCUUCCAAAGAUACGCAGUUACGUUUUCCUGCAGAAGUUCUGCAUACUUGAGGGGAUAAAAAUGGACUUAGUUGUAAGAUUAUUCCUCGUUGACUCUAGGACUUCUCCAACAAAUAGUUCUUUUUCUUAUGUUUAAUAUUUGCAGGAUUUAGUUUUAUGUUUCUGAGUUCUUCGUGGUUCUUGUUACCUUUCUUUGUAUAAUUACCAAGUUAAAAUGACCAAAUAUUGCAAAAAACCCAAAGACAAUCCACUCCAACAAAAGAAACCCCAUCAACAUCAUAGCAAUAGGUUUUUCUAUAAUUCCUUAAUUGUUAGACCGUGCUCAAGGGUUUAUGGCCUUACCUGAUUCCAGUCUAAGUGACUUUUCAAGUUCAGGUGACCUUCAGAGUUUGGAAGUCAAGGUCAUAGAACGAAAACACUUUGGAUUUCUGUUGUAGCUAUAGUCUGUGCACACACUGAGUAUCAUGUUCCUCCCACUGUGAUAGUCCAUUACCAUACCAUAAAAAAAAAGUUAAAUCACCAGCAAAAUAUUAGAAUGACUGUGCAUAACAAUGGAAUUAUUUUCUUGCAGGGUUUUUAUGGCUUUCAUUAGAUGUGUGUUUCAGUUCAGAUUUUGUGUUGUUGACUGGUGUGGAAGACAGAAAGCUUUAGAAAUUAAAGUGCUUGUGCAUCAGUCAUAUGCAACUGUAUUCAUUUGGAAAUAUUGCCUGUGCAAACCUCCUUUAAAGUAAAAAAAGGGCUGGAUAUCACAGGAAAUGCUUUUGUGAUCAAGUAGAUACUUAGGGCUUUAGUGAUCAAGUGGUUGGUAGGUGAGUUAAGGCUUUUUGUUUGAUUUGUUUUGAGAAUACAAUUAAAUAUAAUUAAAUAUAUUAUUAACCCAGAAAUAUAUUAUUAUUAUAAUUGCAAUUAAAUAUAUUAUUAACCCAGAAAAUUACCAUAGUAAGAUAUUGGCCUCAAACUGUGCAAUAUUUUUUUCUUUC